CGCUAUCACUCCUACGGGAGGCAGCAGUGGGGAAUAUUGCACAAUGGGGGAAACCCUGAUGCAACCAUGCCGCGUGUGUGAAGAAGGCCUUCGGGUUGUAAAGCACUUUCAGUAGGGAGGAAGGUAGUGUAGUUAACACCUGCAUUAUUUGACGUUACCUACAGAAGAAGCACCGGCUAACUCCGUGCCAGCAGCCGCGGUAAUACGGAGGGUGCGAGCGUUAAUCGGAAUUACUGGGCGUAAAGCGCAUGCAGGCGGCCUGUUAAGUCAGAUGUGAAAGCCCGGGGCUUAACCUCGGAAUUGCAUUUGAAACUGGCAGGCUAGAGUCUUGUAGAGGGGGUAGAAUUUCAGGUGUAGCGGUGAAAUGCGUAGAGAUCUGAAGGAAUACCAGUGGCGAAGGCGGCCCCCUGGACAAAGACUGACGCUCAGAUGCGAAAGCGUGGGGAGCAAACAGGAUUAGAUACCCUGGUAG
rnacentral:rRNA from 1 species